GUGUAUUUAUACCCUUGUCUCUGCCAUACUCCCUGCCGGAUCAUUGUCUUUGCUACCACGUUUGUACCCUGUUCAUCUGUUCCUGUGUUUUACCUACCUGUUGUUAUUUUGAUUCCCGUGUUUUGUUUGCUAUGUUAUUUAUAUUAAAUGUUAUCCUUUUAUGUGAACUCUGCACUUGCGUCCUCACUCCACAAAUCCAGCAAACCAGUCGUGACAGAAUGAUCCGGCCAGACUGGACGCAGCGGGUUCACGGAGGGCGGCUCCCCCAGGAGUUUCGUAGAGGGGGAGUAGUGACAUCGGGGUUCAUUCUCCACCAGCCCCGAUGUCUCUUGGGGACCACCGUGAGCGAUCGCUCGCUCCUGCGGGCCUGCGGGAGGAGGAUCGGCCCAGGCGGUCCCCCAACGGUUGAGUCGUCGUCGUCGACGGUCCCUCGGAGGACCACCGUCCCGCUCGUAGGGGGAUCCGGAACGGACCACGCCCGAUCAUUUCCCCGGGGUGGCUACCGAAGUGAGGGUCCCCAUUUCCGCGAGGGGACGGGAGAUGACUUCCGGGGGGCAUCGGAUCGUCGGCGAUUCCCAGGAGGGGGGUAAUUCGUCUGCCUCGGUUCUCGGAGCGAUCGCUCCGGUUCUCCUGGCGCAGUCCGGCCCACCGUCCUGUUGGUUUCGUCCCGGCGGCUGCCGGCAUCACCAGGGUUCCCAAGCCCUCCACCCCUCCCUUGGACUCUCGCUACCAGACUUUGUUUUUGUUUUGUGGUUAUGUGAGUGUCUGGUAGCCACUCGUAGAGGGAGGGGUUAUGUCACGGUAAUCCGUGUCAUGUUUUGUGUCUGUUCUAUAUUGUCAUCACCUGGACACUUGUUAAUUAUCACAUCAUUCAUUCCACCUGUGUGUCAUUAGUCUUUGUGUAUUUAUACCCUUGUCUCUGCCAUACUCCCUGCCGGAUCAUUGUCUUUGCUACCACGUUUGUACCCUGUUCAUCUGUUCCUGUGUUUUACCUACCUGUUGUUAUUUUGAUUCCCGUGUUUUGUUUGCUAUGUUAUUUAUAUUAAAUGUUAUCCUUUUAUGUGAACUCUGCACUUGCGUCCUCACUCCACAAAUCCAGCAAACCAGUCGUGACAGGAACGUCCCGAGAGCCUCGCCCAAGAAUGUCCCGAGAGCCGCGUCCAGGAAAGUCCCGAGAGCCACGCCCAGGAACGUCCCGAGAGCCUCGCCCAAGAACGUCCCGAAAGCCAAGUCCAGGAGCGCCCCGAGAGCCUUGUCCCAGAGCGCCGAGAGGAGGAGUCUGAAAAUUUGUUUAUCCUUAAUCUUGUUCCUGUGUCAUCCCCACUUUCUUCCACUUCUCUCUUUCCUCCUUUUAAACCUUCACACACAUCUUCACCUCCACUUCCAUGCUAUCAGUCUUCACCACAGAGAAAAAGGAAAAACAUCUCUACAUCCUCUUGUCCACCCAGUUCCAUUCCCCAUCGAAAAAAAGAAUGCAGGUAGACUCAUCCAGGAGCACCCCGAGAGCCUUGCCAAUGAGAGCCCAGGAGCAUCCUGAAAGCCUUGCCCAGAAGCACCCUGAAAGUUUUGCCCAGAAGCAUCCCAAGAGCCUCGUCCAGGAGCAUCCUGAGAGCCUUGCCCAGAAGCACUCUGAAAGUUUUGUCCAGAAGCGUCCCGAGAGCCUCGAUCAGGAGCAUCCUGAGAGCCUUGCCCAUGAGUGCCCACAGAGUCUUGCCCAGAAGCACCCUAAAAGCCUCGCCCAGAAGCACCCUGAAAGCCUCGCCCAGGAGCACCCAGAUAGACAGAGAAAAGAAUAAAAAUCGAAAAGAAUAAAAAGGGUUGUCAAAAAUGCAGCCGACAGAAGUUUUUUUUGUUUGAUCGAAUAACUGGGGAACGAAUAAAUGAGGGGAAGGCUGAACUGAAAAUACACUGGUUGUCUUGCUCUUCGUGCCUGCCUAGGAUCCCCUGCCUGUUUCUGGAUUCCGCAGCCCGCCCUUGAUCUUCUGCCUGGUUCUCGACAAGCCUUUGCCUGACCUCUGAUAUUUCAGAUUCCGAUACUGACCUUUGCCUGGUUUAUUUGUCUAAUAAAUUGUUGCAUUUGGA